rnacentral:rRNA from 1 species
UCGUCCGCCGCGUGCCGCGCCGGUCCCGCCGCCCCCGCCCGGGGAAUUUUCCGCAAUGGGCGAAAGCCUGACGGAGCAAGACCGCGUGAGGGAGGAAGGCUCUUGGGUUGUAAACCUCUUUUCUCAGGGAAGAACAAAAUGACGUGUACCUCGAGGAAUCAGCAUCGGCUAACUCCGUGCCAGCAGCCGCGGUAAUACGGAGGAUGCAAGCGUUAUCCGGAAUCAUUGGGCGUAAAGCGUUCGUAGGUGGCUGGGCAAGUCUGCUGUCAAAGACCAGAGCUUAACUCUGGAAAGGCGGUGGAAACUGCAGAGCUAGAGUGCGGUAGGGGUAGAGGGAAUUCCCGGUGUAGCGGUGAAAUGCGUAGAGAUCGGGAAGAACACCGGG